rnacentral:rRNA from 1 species
UACGUAGGGGGCAAGCGUUGUCCGGAAUCAUUGGGCGUAAAGCGCGCGUAGGCGGCCCGGUAAGUCCGCUCUGAAAGUCCAGGGCUCAACCCUGGAAAGCGGGUGGAUACUGCCGGGCUAGAAUCCGGAAGAGGCGAGUGGAAUUCCUGGUGUAGCGGUGGAAUGCGCAGAUAUCAGGAGGAACACCUAUGGCGAAGGCAGCUCGCUGGGACGUUACUGACGCUGAGACGCGAAAGCGUGGGGAGCAAACAGG